CGGCGCGUCUUAAGCAUGCAAGUCGAACGAGUGGCGAACGGGUGAGUAACACGUGAGCAACCUACCUUACACAGGGGGAUAGCCGUUGAAAACGACGAUUAAUACCGCAUGAGAAAAGUCGGUGUAAGAUGGGCUCGCGUCUGAUUAGCUAGUUGGAAGGGUAAAGGCCUACCAAGGCAACGAUCAGUAGCCGGUCUGAGAGGAUGAACGGCCACAUUGGAACUGAGACACGGUCCAAACUCCUAAGGGAGGCAGCAGUGGGGAAUAUUGCACAAUGGGGGGAACCCUGAUGCAGCGACGCCGCGUGAGCGAAGAAGGUUUUCGAAUCGUAAAGCUCUGUCCUAUGAGAAGAUGACGGUAUCAUAGGAGGAAGCCCCGGCUAAAUACGUGCCAGCAGCCGCGGUAAUACGUAUGGGGCGAGCGUUGUCCGGAAUUAUUGGGCGUAAAGGGUACGUAGGCGGCCUAUUAAGUCAGGUGUGAAAGCGUGAGGCUUAACCUCAUUAAGCACUUGAAACUGGAAGGCUUGAGUGAAGGAGAGGAAAGUGGAAUUCCUAGUGUAGCGGUGAAAUGCGUAGAUAUUAGGAGGAAUACCGGUGGCGAAGGCGACUUUCUGGACUUACUGACGCUCAGGUACGAAAGCGUGGGGAGCAAACAGGAUUAGAUACCCUGGUAGUCCACGCCGUAAACGAUGAGUGCUAGGUGUUGGGAUCUCGGCGCCGAAGUUAACACAUUAAGCAUUCCGCCUGGGGAGUACGGUGGCAACACUGAAACUCAAAGGAAUUGACGGGGACCCGCACAAGCAGCAGAGCAUGUGGUUUAAUUCGAAGCAACGCGAAGAACCUUACCAAGGCUUGACAUAUACAGGUGGUGCAUGGUUGUCGUCAGCUCGUGUCGUGAGAUGUUGGGUUAAGUCCCGCAACGAGCGCAACCCUUAUCUUCAGUUACCAGCACGUGGGGACUCUGGAGAGACUGCCGAUGACAAAUCGGAAGAAGGUGGGGAUGACAUCAAAUCAUCAUGCCCUUUAUGUCUUGGGCUACACACGUGCUACAAUGGUUGGCAACGAGAGACUAGACAGUGAUGUUAAGCAAAACUCUACCAAUCUCAGUUCGGAUGUAGGCUGCAACUCGCCUACAGAAGUCGGAGUUGCUAGUAAUCGCGAAUCAGAAUGUCGCGGUGAACGCGUUCCCGGGUCUUGUACACACCGCCCGUCACACCAUGGGAGUUGGCAAUACCCGAAGCCGCCAUCUAGGAAGGCGUCGAAGGUAGGGUUAAUGACUGGGGUGAAGUCGUAACAAGGUAGCCGUAUCGGAAGGUGCGGUUG
rnacentral:rRNA from 3 species